rnacentral:rRNA from 1 species
CCUGGUUGAUCCUGCCAGUAGUCAUAUGCUUGUCUCAAAGAUUAAGCCAUGCAUGUCUAAGUAUAAACAAAUUCUAUACUGUGAAACUGCGAAUGGCUCAUUAAAUCAGUUAUGAUCUACAUGACAAUUCAUUACUACUUGGAUAACCGUGGUAAUUCUAGAGCUAAUACAUGCAACAAAAGCCUCGACUUCGGAAGGGGUGCACUUAUUAGGUAAAAGCCAACCUGGUGUUAAAGCCAGUUUUUUGGUGAUUCAUAAUAAUUCAAUGCUGAUCGCAUGGCCUUGUGCUGGCGACGGUUCAUUCGAUUUUCUGCCCUAUCAGGUUAAGAUUGUAAGAUAGAGGCUUACAUUGCCUACCACGGGUAACGGGGAAUUAGGGUUCGAUUCCGGAGAGGGAGCCUGAGAAACGGCUACCACAUCCAAGGAAGGCAGCAGGCGCGCAAAUUACCCAAUCCCAAUUCGGGGAGGUAGUGACAAUAAAUAACAAUGCAGGGCCUUUUAGGUCUUGCAAUUGGAAUGAGUACAAUUUAAAUCCCUUAACGAGGAUCUAUUGGAGGGCAAGUCUGGUGCCAGCAGCCGCGGUAAUUCCAGCUCCAAGAGCGUAUAUUAAAGUUGUUGCAGUUAAAACGUCCGUAGUCGAAUAGUAGCUUUUGGCUAGGUGACUUGAUCUUCAUUGGUCUAGUUCGCUUUAGUCAUGGCUCUCACGUUUGGUACUGUCUGGUUGGCUUCGGUCGGUUAGAUAUAAGGCCAAACAAAUUACCAUGAGCAAAUCAGAGUGUUUAAAGCAGGCUAUAAGCCUGAAUGUGUUAGCAUGGAAUAAUGAAAUAAGACGUGGCUCUAUAUUUCGUUGGUUUUAAGAGACCAUUGUAAUGAUGAAUAGGAACGGUUGGGGGGAUUUGUAUUUGGUCGCUAGAGGUGAAAUUCUUGGAUUGACCGAAGACAAACUACUGCGAAGGCAUUUCACCCAGGACGUUUUCAUUGAUCAGGGUCGAAAGUUAGGGGAUCGAAGACGAUUAGAUACCGUCGUAGUCUUAACAGCAAACUAUGCCGACUAGAGGUUGGAUAAGUACAUUAUGGCUUAUUCAGAAUCUUAGCGAAAGCAA